ensembl:snRNA U6 U6 spliceosomal RNA
AUCCUCACUUUGGCAGCACAUAUACUAAAAUUGAAAUGAUACAGAGAAGAUUACAUGGGCCCUGCACAAGGAUGACAUGCAAAUUUGUAAAGUAUUCCACGUUUUU